UACGUAGGGUGCGAGCGUUAAUCGGAAUUACUGGGCGUAAAGGGUGCGCAGGCGGCGUCGCAAGUCAGGCGUGAAAUCCCCGGGCUUAACCUGGGAACUGCACUUGAAACUACGAUGCUGGAGUAUGGCAGAGGGAGGUGGAAUUCCACGUGUAGCGGUGAAAUGCGUAGAGAUGUGGAGGAACACCGAUAGCGAAGGCAGCCUCCUGGGCCAAUACUGACGCUCAUGCACGAAAGCGUGGGGAGCAAACAGG
rnacentral:rRNA from 1 species